rnacentral:rRNA from 1 species
GAUGAACGCUGGCGGCGUGCCUAAUACAUGCAAGUCGAGCGAACAGACGAGGAGCUUGCUCCUCUGACGUUAGCGGCGGACGGGUGAGUAACACGUGGAUAACCUACCUAUAAGACUGGGAUAACUUCGGGAAACCGGAGCUAAUACCGGAUAAUAUAUUGAACCGCAUGGUUCAAUAGUGAAAGACGGUUUUGCUGUCACUUAUAGAUGGAUCCGCGCCGCAUUAGCUAGUUGGUAAGGUAACGGCUUACCAAGGCAACGAUGCGUAGCCGACCUGAGAGGGUGAUCGGCCACACUGGAACUGAGACACGGUCCAGACUCCUACGGGAGGCAGCAGUAGGGAAACGUCCGCAAUGGGCGAAAGCCUGACGGAGCAACGCCGCGUGAGUGAUGAAGGUCUUCGGAUCGUAAAACUCUGUUAUUAGGGAAGAACAAAUGUGUAAGUAACUAUGCACGUCUUGACGGCACCUAAUCAGAAAGCCACGGCUAACUACGUG